UAAACACUACCCAUCAAGACAAACAAGAGACAGAUAAGACAAAAAGAGAUUCUUCAAUCAAAACGGUGUCGUGUCUUUGUUUACACAUAUGUACACUUCGGUGGUUGCAGAAGUUAUUAAACAGUUUUCGAAGAGCAGAUCUGGAAGAGGGAAGAAGAAGAACUCUACUGGUUAAUUUUAGCCGGCGGGAAAAGCUCUUCUCUCAAACCAUCCCUCUUUCUCUUAAACCCUAAUUCUCGGCAUCCUUCAAAACCUAACAAUUUCAAUUUCAAUAUCAAUUAAAGGAGAGAGCGAGAACCCAACAGCUUUGUUACUCUCUUCCUUUGAAUGAUUUCAAUGUCGUGUGUCCCAAAACCUUUGGAGGAAGAAGAAGAAGAUACCCAAAUCAAAACGGAACUCCAUGACCACGGUGAUAUUCCUGUUCGUUACGCCUCUCUUGAGAGCGUCUACUCCGUUUCUUCUUCCUCCUCUUCGUUGUGUUGUAUUAGCGCCGCUGGUUCACACAAGAAGGUCAAUGCCCAGAAGAACCCAAUGACCGAUAGUUUUGAGUUGCAGCCUCAUCGGCGACCGGAGAUUGUUCACGUCUAUUGUCGCCGUAAGAGGAGGCGGCGGCGGCGGAGGGAGUCUUUCGUUGAGUUAGCAUUACUUCAGAAUGAGAGAAAGGAUGGGAUUGUAAAAAUUGAAAAUGCGGAGCUUGAUGAGGAGGAGGAGGAGGAGAAGAAGAAGAAGCAGAAGAAAAGGAGGAUUGGUAAUGGUGAGCUCAUGAAAUUGGGUGUGGAUUCGACUACUUUAAGCGUCUCUGCUACCCCGCCUUUACGCGGAUGUCGAAUUAAAGCUGUGUGUAGCGGAAAUAAACAAGAUGGAUCUUCCCGGAGUAAGAGGAGUUUUGUCAAAAAUCAGGAGAAGGUUGUCUCAGCUUCUGCUACAGCUAAGAAAUGGGUCAGGUUGAGUUAUGACGGUGUCGAUCCUAAAAAUUUCAUUGGGCUGCAAUGCAAGGUUUUUUGGCCAUUGGAUGCUGUUUGGUAUCCUGGUUCUAUCGUCGGAUAUAAUGUAGAGACAAAGCAUCACAUUGUCAAAUAUGGAGAUGGAGAUGGCGAGGAAUUAGCUCUUCGUCGGGAAAAGAUCAAAUUUUUAAUUUCUCGUGACGAGAUGGAGUUGCUAAACAUGAAGUUCGGUACUAAUGAUGUCGCCGUUCAUGGUCAAGAUUAUGAUGAACUGGUUAUAUUGGCUGCUUCUUUUGAGGAUUGCCAUGAUUUUGAGCCUAGAGACAUCAUAUGGGCGAAACUAACAGGUCAUGCUAUGUGGCCAGCAAUUAUUGUUGAUGAGUCUGUUAUUGUAAAGCGGAAAGGUCUAAACAACAAGGCAUCUGGAGGAAGAUCUGUCCUCGUACAGUUUUUCGGCACCCAUGAUUUUGCGAGAAUACAAGUCAAACAAGCGGUCUCAUUUCUUAAAGGGCUUCUCUCACGGUCUCCUCUGAAGUGCAAGCAACCUCGGUUUGAAGAGGCCAUGGAGGAAGCAAAAAUGUACCUAAAAGAAUAUAAGCUUCCAGGAAGGAUGGAUCAACUUCAAAAAGUUGCUGAUACUGAAUGUUCGGAAAGGACUAAUAGUGGAGAAGAGGACAGCUCAAACUCGGGUGAUGAUUACACAAAAGAUGGAGAAGUCUGGUUGCAACCAACAGGAAUUGGAGAUUGCUUGCAUAGAAUAGGCGAUCUGCAGAUAAUGAACCUUGGAAGGAUCGUGACAGACUCAGAAUUUUUCAAGGAUAGUAAGCAUACUUGGCCUGAAGGGUAUACAGCUAUAAGAAAAUUUAUAUCACUAAAAGAUCCUGAUGCAUCUGCCAUGUACAAGAUGGAAGUGCUUAGAGAUGCCGAGUCAAAAAAUCGCCCUGUUUUCAGAGUUACAACCAACAGCGGUGAGCAGUUCAAAGGGGACACUCCAUCUGCCUGCUGGAAUAAAAUAUAUAAUAGGAUAAAAAAGAUUCAGAGUGCUUCUGAUGGUCCUGAUGGUUUGGGUGAAGGACUUCAUGAAUCUGGUACAGAUAUGUUUGGCUUCUCCAACCCAGAAGUCGAUAAACUUAUUCAGGGGCUAUUACAAUCUAGACCACCUUCCAAGGUUUCUCAGCGCAAAUAUAGUUCCGGAAAGUAUCAAGAUCAUCCUACUGGUUACCGACCUGUACGGGUGGACUGGAAAGAUCUUGAUAAGUGCAAUGUCUGCCACAUGGAUGAGGAAUAUGAGAAUAAUUUGUUCUUGCAAUGUGAUAAAUGUAGAAUGAUGGUCCAUACUAGAUGCUAUGGGCAGCUGGAACCCCGUGAUGGCAUUCUGUGGUUAUGCAACUUAUGUCGUCCUGGCGCUCUUGAUAUUCCUCCUCGAUGUUGUCUUUGUCCUGUAGUAGGGGGCGCUAUGAAGCCGACAACUGAUGGGCGCUGGGCUCAUCUGGCUUGUGCCAUAUGGAUCCCAGAAACCUGCUUAUUGGAUGUCAAGAAGAUGGAACCGAUCGAUGGGGUUAAUAAAGUCAAUAAGGAUCGUUGGAAAUUGUUGUGCAGCAUCUGUGGUGUAUCUUAUGGAGCUUGUAUCCAAUGUUCAAAUAGUUCUUGUCGAGUGGCAUAUCAUCCUCUAUGUGCACGAGCUGCUGGUCUCUGUGUUGAGCUUGCAGAUGAGGAUAGGCUUUUUCUUCUAUCAAUGGAUGACGAUGAAGCAGAUCAGUGCAUCCGCCUGCUUUCGUUUUGCAAGAGGCAUCGACAAACAUCAAAUGACCACUUAGAAACAGAGUACAUGAUCAAACCAGCUCAUAAUAUUGCGGAGUAUCUCCCACCUCCUAAUCCAUCUGGCUGUGCUCGCACUGAGCCAUAUAAUUAUCUUGGAAGAAGAGGACGAAAGGAACCCGAAGCUCUUGCUGGUCCUUCUUCAAAACGAUUAUUUGUUGAGAAUCAGCCGUAUAUUGUUGGUGGAUACUCUCGACAUGAAUUUGCGACCUAUGAACGCAUUUAUGGAUCAAAGAUGUCACAAAUAAUUACUCCAAGCAAUAUUCUAUCUAUGGCCGAGAAAUAUACAUUCAUGAAGGAAACCUACAGGAAGAGAUUAGCAUUCGGGAAAUCGGGAAUUCAUGGUUUUGGGAUCUUUGCAAAGCUUCCGCACAGGGCGGGGGAUAUGGUGAUUGAGUACACUGGUGAGCUUGUUAGGCCACCAAUAGCUGACAAGAGAGAACAUCUUAUAUACAACUCAAUGGUGGGUGCUGGGACCUAUAUGUUUAGAAUUGAUAAUGAGCGGGUCAUAGACGCAACAAGGACGGGAAGCAUUGCCCACCUUAUCAAUCACUCAUGUGAGCCAAAUUGCUAUUCAAGAGUCAUUAGUGUUAAUGGUGAUGAGCAUAUUAUCAUAUUUGCAAAGAGGGAUGUCGCAAAAUGGGAGGAGCUGACCUAUGAUUAUAGGUUCUUUUCAAUUGAUGAGCGCCUUGCAUGUUACUGUGGUUUCCCAAGAUGCCGGGGUGUUGUUAAUGACACAGAAGCCGAAGAACAACAGGCAAAUAUUCAUGCUUCUCGCUGUGAGUUAAAAGAGUGGACAGAGGCCUGAGAGGUUAGUAGAUGUCUUAUAUCCAUUGAAGACAAUGACUUCUUUAAUGCGUCUUGAUAUCUUCGAUACGGCAUUAUUUCAUGAUCAUCACAUCUGCCAUUUCAACAGUCUGCACGAGAUCUUUGUAAGGAUGUCACACGUUUGCGAAUUCUCAUGAUUCUGGCUAACUUUCCUCUCUAGAGAUGCCCAUUAAUCUCCCUAAACACAUACUGUGACUCUCAAUGCUCUUGACUUGAAAUGGUUCGAUUAUAUCCCUGUUUUGUAACAAUCCAUUUCUUGUACAGAUACUAAUUAUAUCUUACACAGUAAAGCUUUUUGUAACAAGAGGCACAUUACAUUCUUUGGGUAAAUGAAAAAAAGCAGCAUUCUCUUA